rnacentral:rRNA from 1 species
AUUGAACGCUGGCGGCAGGCCUAACACAUGCAAGUCGAGCGGAUGAAGGGAGCUUGCUCCUGGAUUCAGCGGCGGACGGGUGAGUAAUGCCUAGGAAUCUGCCUGGUAGUGGGGGAUAACGUCCGGAAACGGGCGCUAAUACCGCAGACGUCCUGAGGGAGAAAGUGGGGGAUCUUCGGACCUCACGCUAUCAGAUGAGCCUAGGUCGGAUUAGCUAGUUGGUGGGGUAAAGGCCUACCAAGCCGACGAUCCGUAACUGGUCUGAGAGGAUGAUCAGUCACACUGGAACUGAGACACGGUCCAGACUCCUACGGGAGGCAGCAGUGGGGAAUAUUGGACAAUGGGCGAAAGCCUGAUCCAGCCAUGCCGCGUGUGUGAAGAAGGUCUUCGGAUUGUAAAGCACUUUAAGUUGGGAGGAAGGGCAGUAAGUUAAUACCUUGCUGUUUUGACGUUACCAACAGAAUAAACACCGGCUAACUUCGUG